UAUUAGUUUUAUCCUGUCUAAGAAUUUGGUAUUUUUAAGAAAACGUGUAUGAAAUAUCUUAAAGUAAGAAAUAUAACCAUUUUUAAAAAAUUUCUUCCACCCUCAGCACAAAAUAUUAAGCAAUAGUUUAAAGACUGACUUAAUCUUUAAAAUAGAUUUGGCAAAUUAUUGUGCCAGCAGCCGCGGUUACACCCUAAAAUCAAGCCAAAUAAAAUCAGUGUUUAGCAUUAUUCAUAAAGAUAAUUUUUUAUAGAAAUGAAAAGUGAAAUUUAAUAUUUUUAAUUAAAAAAUUAUUUUUAAAAUUCUAUUAGCUAAAAAGACUAAAUUAAAAACUAGGAUUAGAUACCCUACUAUUUUAGAUUUAACAACCAACACUAAAGUACUAAAAGCUAUGAUCUCUAAAUUUAAAGGAUUUGGCGGUGAUUUAAUCCCAUUAGAGGAACCUGUUAUAGAAACGAUAAACCACGCAAAAUCUUACCUUUUUUCAGUUUGUAUACCGUCAUUAUUAGAUAACUUCGCAAGAAAAUAGUUAUUGAAAUAAUUCCCCUUAAUAUAUUAGAUCAAGGUGCAGCGCAUAAAAAGGUGGUCAAUGGGUUACAAUAAUUUUAGUUAUACGGAUUAAAAAUUUAAAUAUUUUUUUAAAGGAGGAUUUAAUAGUAAAAUUAAUUUAAUAAGUUAGUUUGACUUUGGACCUAAAUCGUGUACAUAUCGCCCGUCACUUCCAUUACCAGAUGGAAUAAGUCGUAACAUAGUAGGUGUACUGGAAAGUGCACCUAACAAUAA
rnacentral:ncRNA from 1 species